UACGGGGGGGCAAGCGUUGUUCGGAAUUACUGGGCGUAAAGGGCGCGUGAGGCGGGUUCGCUAAGUUGGAUGUGAAAACUCUGGGCUACCAACCCGAGAGCCCUGCAUCCAAAAUCUGGCGGGCUAGAAGUUCUGGAGGGGGUAGCGGAAGUUCCUGGUGGUGAGCGGUGAAAUGCGUAGAGUAUCAAGGAGGGAACGACCGGUGGCGAAGGCGGG
rnacentral:rRNA from 1 species